rnacentral:rRNA from 1 species
GACGAACGCUGGCGGCGUGCCUAAUACAUGCAAGUAGAACGCCGUUGCUAACGGGUGAGUAACGCUUAGGUAACUUCCUCAUAGCUCGGGAUAACUAUUGUAUACGAUAGCUAGUACCGCAUACUGUCAGAUGGACCUGCGUUGUCUUUGCUAGUUGGUUAGGUAAAGGCUAACCAAGGCGACGAUACAUAGCGGAACUGAGGAGGUGGUCUGCCACCAUUGGACUGAGUAACGGCCCCGAUGGCCACGGGAGGCUGCAGGAGGGAAAUUUAUGCAAUGGACGGAAGUCUGACCGAGACAAGCCGAGUGAGUGAAGAAGGUUUUCGGAUCGGAAAGCUCUGGUGUUAGAUAAGCGGUAACUAACCAGAAAGGGACGGCUAACUACGUGCCAGCAGCCGCGGUAAUUC